CAUCAAAAGGCAGUGGAACUGUCUGGCAAAAUUUCCCCUUGCUCUAGCAAGAAAGUCUAAUGUAUUCUGGUGUCCUUUCUUCAAUUAGCCUAUAUACACUUAAAGCCACUAUAUACUCUUAAACAGU
rnacentral:snoRNA from 1 species